rnacentral:tRNA from 1 species
AGAAGCUUAGGUUAACCUAGACCAAGAGCCUUCAAAGCUCUAAGUAAAUAAUAAAUAUUUAGCUUCUG